UACAGAGGGUGCGAGCGUUGUCCGGAAUCACUGGGCGUAAAGGGCGCGUAGGCGGCCGAGUAAGUAGGAGGUGAAAUCUCACAGCUCAACUGUGAGGCUGCCUUCUAGACUGCUUGGCUUGAGCACGGUAGAGGCUGGUGGAAUUCCCGGUGUAGCGGUGGAAUGCGUAGAGAUCGGGAAGAACAUCGGUGGCGAAGGCGGCCAGCUGGGCCGUUGCUGACGCUGAGGCGCGAAAGCGUGGGGAGCAAACAGG
rnacentral:rRNA from 1 species